CCUACGGGUGGCUGCAGUGGGGAAUAUUGCACAAUGAGCGAAAGCCUGAUGCAGCAACGCCGCGUGAAGGAAGAAGGGUUUCGGCUCGUAAACUUCUAUUAACAGGGACGAAAGAAAGGACGGUACCUGAAUAAGAAGCCCCGGCUAACUACGUGCCAGCAGACGCGGUAAUACGUAGGGGGCAAGCGUGAUCCGGAAUUACUGGGUGGAAAGGUUGAGUAGGUGGCAUGGUAAGCCAGAUGUGAAAGCCUUGGGCUUAAACCGAGGAUUGCAUUUGGUACUAGCAAGCUAGAGUUAGGGAGAGGAAAGCGGAAUUCCAAGUGUAGCGGUGAAAUGCGUAGAUAUUAGGAAGAACACCAGAGGCGAAGGCGGCUUACUGGGCUGAAACUGACGCUGAGGCACGAAAGCGUGGGGAGCGAACAGGAUUAGAUACCCCGGUAGUC
rnacentral:rRNA from 1 species